rnacentral:lncRNA from 1 species
GUGGGCCCCAGGUGCCCCGGGAAAACUUGGGGGAGAAUGGGCAUCCCACCCCAGCACUUUCUAGGAAGAAGGGCAGCAUUUUGAAGGGCUGGAAGUAGAGGAAGGAGGUUGCGGGUAGAAGACUCCAUACUUUCUGUGACGCCUAUUCCUUAGGUAGGAACUUAGGAACCUCAGUCAGAGGCAUGGCUUGCCUGGGCCUCUGGGUGCAGCUGCACAGAUUCAAGCAGCCUGAAGGAAAGGUGACUGACAGCUAAUGAUCUGAAAAGAACUUGUCUCAACUCAACGUCAUUCCUGGCAUUAUCGAACAAAGCAAUAAACCUCACAGAAUGGAAGCUACAGUGUCCAGGGCCAGCUCUGCUAAGGUAACCAAAGACAGAGAAGGAGGCAAAAGUGACAGAAGAAACUCAUGGGAAACCAACAGAAAUAUAAUGGCUUUGGCAGAAAUGCAAUUAUCAAUUGGGAGCUUGUGAUGAAUGUUUUCUCAGUAUCCUAUGCUGAAAACAGGUAGAUACUAAUAUCGAUCUUCAAGGGAGGGCUGUUGAGUAUUGAAUAAGACAAAAACAUGGAAGCAAUCAGCACCAUGCUGGAGAGCCUUUAUAUAACCAAAGAUAUUUUUGGACCAUGAAUUCAGAAAUUCUCGGAGCCACCCAUCAGUGCCUGAGCUUCAGUGAGUCCAUAUCCCAUGUCACCCACGGCAAAGGAGACUCUAAGACUUCUGAAGAGUUUCUUGCUUCUUUCCUGUGGGGCAGUGACUCCACUUCCCAGCAGUAAUGGAAUAUCCUGAAUUAGCUACAUUAAUGUUAGAACCAUUUGGACCUCACCCAGGACUUCAACUACAUUAUGCUAAAGUUACAGAACCCAAAUUUGGCAACUGUCUGCAUCUGAACAACAGAAGUUUCAACAUUCUGCCAACAGAGUAACUCCUGGACGAUUGGCACAGAAGAAGGCACAAGGCAAAUACCCAUCUCUGUACACCCUGUGCUACUGUGUCAUGUGCUGCUCCAGGCAACUCCAAUGGAUUGGCCACCCUGGCCAAUGUGUUCUAGUAUGUUACGUUUAUGUUCCCCUGCUUUCUACAAUCCUGUUCAAAGAGUUGCUGACUUAACCACAGAGAGGAUUCCAGAACCUGAGACACAGAAUAAACUUGAGCAAUCAUAGUCCAUCCACUUCAUUGUCUCAUCAAAAACCAAAGGUCCAGUGAAGCUCUGGAACUCAACGCUGUAAAGGAGCGAAGGAGCUUCUAUACAGAGCCUGGAUGCCUGUCUCCUUAUCCUACUUCAGUGGACUUGACUGCAAUCCGGAUUAUGCUGUUUUCUAAGCAUUUAAAAUAAAAUAAAAAGUAUAAUAGUGUGAUAAGUUCUUUCACAAAGCAAGC